rnacentral:rRNA from 1 species
AUUGAACGCUGGCGGCAGGCCUAACACAUGCAAGUCGAGCGGAUGAAGGGAGCUUGCUCCUGGAUUCAGCGGCGGACGGGUGAGUAAUGCCUAGGAAUCUGCCUGGUAGGGGGGGAUAACGUCCGGAAACGGGCGCUAAUACCGCAUACGUCCUGAGGGAGAAAGUGGGGGAUCUUCGGACCUCACGCUAUCAGAUGAGCCUAGGUCGGAUUAGCUAGUUGGUGGGGUAAAGGCCUACCAAGGCGACGAUCCGUAACUGGUCUGAGAGGAUGAUCAGUCACACUGGAACUGAGACACGGUCCAGACUCCUACGGGAGGCAGCAGUGGGAAAUAUUGGACAAUGGGCGAAAGCCUGAUCCAGCCAUGCCGCGUGUGUGAAGAAGGUCUUCGGAUUGUAAAGCACUUUAAGUUGGGAGGAAGGGCAGUAAGUUAAUACCUUGCUGUUUUGACGUUACCAACAGAAUAAGCACCGGCUAACUUCGUG